GCCGGGAUGGUCGAGUGGUAAGGCGCAGGCCUGGAGAGCCUGUGGGGAUUAUCCCCUCAAGGGUUCAAAUCCCUUUCCCGGCG
rnacentral:tRNA from 1 species